CGAUUUGCCCCAAUUGCGUAUAAAGCAGGCAGAAUUUCUGUCCAGCUGUACAUACUCUAACAUUUUCUUUCUUUCCAGUUUUAAACAUUUUACAAAAUUCAUUGAAAAAUGAGAUUCGGCAUUUUGAUAGCUCUCUCCUGCGUUGCCGUCGCCUCUGCCGGAGUCGUCAAUGUAACCCGUUGUGGUGGCGUGGGAACUCCUCUGCAAACCAGGGUAUCCGGCUGUGAAGGAUACUGCCAAGUACGACCUGGCCAAGUUUACGAAUUCCAACAAGACUUCAUGCCAAGUACAUAUUUAGAAUUUAUCUACUGUAUUUCUCAGUGGGAACGUUCAUAUAUUACGUCGCAAAAAAUUUGAUACUAAUAUUAGAACUACCUAGAUAAUCCGGUUCUUUACAAUACCGGCUUUCCUAGACCGGGCCCCGGUCCAGAAAUAAAAUGUGAGAUUUGCUUGGUCUGCAUUAUUGUUGUUUACAAUUAUUAGCGAUUUUAAAAUAGUGUUAUUUUAACAGAGUUGGUAAAUUAAACUAAUUGGUAAAAUAAACCACUUAACCAAUAUAAACCGAUAUUUGACAAUAAUGCGGCGGCGUAUGGGGACGUGUGGCGAUGAGGCCGUAAAAACUAUUGCAUACGAAUGGGACAUGAUGUUGGAGCGGUUUGUCGGGUUGUAGCGUUGAUAUGAAACUGUCGGGGUGACGCCGGGUUGUUUUGGGGGGUUGGUAGUCAAGUUUUUGAAAGUCGGGGUGACUCCGGGGUGUUCCACGGGGUUGGUAGUCAAGUAUUUGAAAUUCGGGGUGGCUCCGGGGUGUUCUAUGGGGUUGGUUAUCAAGUUUUUUGGAAAUUCGGGGUGAC